CCUACGGGUGGCAGCAGUAGGGAAUAUUGCGCAAUGGAGGAAACUCUGACGCAGCAACGCCGCGUGAAGGAUGAAGGUUUUCGGAUUGUAAACUCCUGUUGUUAGAGAUGAUAAUUGCGGGUUCUAACUAAUAAGCACCGGCUAACUCCGUGCCAGCAACCGCGGUAAUACGGAGGGUGCAAGCGUUACUCGGAAUCACUGGGCGUAAAGAGCGCGUAGGCGGGAUAGCAAGUCAGAUGUGAAAUCCUAUGGCUUAACCAUAGAACUGCAUUUGAAACUGUUAUUCUAGAGUAUGGGAGAGGUAGGUGGAAUUCUUGGUGUAGGGGUAGAAUCCGUAGAGAUCAAGAGGAAUAC
rnacentral:rRNA from 1 species